rnacentral:rRNA from 1 species
CCUACGGGUGGCUGCAGUGGGGAAUAUUGGACAAUGGGGGCAACCCUGAUCCAGCCAUGCCGCGUGUGUGAAGAAGGCCCUCGGGUUGUAAAGCACUUUCAGUGAGGAAGAACGCCUGGUGGUUAAUACCCAUCAGGAAAGACAUCACUCACAGAAGAAGCACCGGCUAACUCCGUGCCAGCAGCCGCGGUAAUACGGAGGGUGCGAGCGUUAAUCGGAAUUACUGGGCGUAAAGCGCGCGUAGGUGGCUUGAUAAGCCGGUUGUGAAAGCCCCGGGCUCAACCUGGGAACGGCAUCCGGAACUGUCAAGCUAGAGUGCAGGAGAGGAAGGUAGAAUUCCCGGUGUAGCGGUGAAAUGCGUAGAGAGCGGGAGGAAUACCAGUGGCGAAGGCGGCCUUCUGGACUGACACUGACACUGAGGUGCGAAAGCGUGGGUAGCAAACAGGAUUAGAUACCCUUGUAGUC